CGAAUGCUGACAUAAGUAACGAUAAAGCGGGUGAAAAGCCCGCUCGCCGGAAGACCAAGGGUUCCUGUCCAACGUUAAUCGGGGCAGGGUGAGUCGACCCCUAAGGCGAGGCCGAAAGGCGUAGUCGAUGGGAAACAGGUUAAUAUUCCUGUACUUGGUGUUACUGCGAAGGGGGGACGGAGAAGGCUAUGUUGGCCGGGCGACGGUUGUCCCGGUUUAAGCGUGUAGGCUGGUUUUCCAGGCAAAUCCGGAAAAUCAAGGCUGAGGCGUGAUGACGAGGCACUACGGUGCUGAAGCAACAAAUGCCCUGCUUCCAGGAAAAGCCUCUAAGCAUCAGGUAACAUCAAAUCGUACCCCAAACCGACACAGGUGGUCAGGUAGAGAAUACCAAGGCGCUUGAGAGAACUCGGGUGAAGGAACUAGGCAAAAUGGUGCCGUAACUUCGGGAGAAGGCACGCUGAUAUGUAGGUGAAGCGACUUGCUCGUGGAGCUGAAAUCAGUCGAAGAUACCAGCUGGCUGCAACUGUUUAUUAAAAACACAGCACUGUGCAAACACGAAAGUGGACGUAUACGGUGUGACGCCUGCCCGGUGCCGGAAGGUUAAUUGAUGGGGUCAGCGCAAGCGAAGCUCUUGAUCGAAGCCCCGGUAAACGGCGGCCGUAACUAUAACGGUCCUAAGGUAGCGAAAUUCCUUGUCGGGUAAGUUCCGACCUGCACGAAUGGCGUAAUGAUGGCCAGGCUGUCUCCACCCGAGACUCAGUGAAAUUGAACUCGCUGUGAAGAUGCAGUGUACCCGCGGCAAGACGGAAAGACCCCGUGAACCUUUACUAUAGCUUGACACUGAACAUUGAGCCUUGAUGUGUAGGAUAGGUGGGAGGCUUAGAAGUGUGGACGCCAGUCUGCAUGGAGCCGACCUUGAAAUACCACCCUUUAAUGUUUGAUGUUCUAACGUUGACCCGUAAUCCGGGUUGCGGACAGUGUCUGGUGGGUAGUUUGACUGGGGCGGUCUCCUCCUAAAGAGUAACGGAGGAGCACGAAGGUUGGCUAAUCCUGGUCGGACAUCAGGAGGUUAGUGCAAUGGCAUAAGCCAGCUUGACUGCGAGCGUGACGGCGCGAGCAGGUGCGAAAGCAGGUCAUAGUGAUCCGGUGGUUCUGAAUGGAAGGGCCAUCGCUCAACGGAUAAAAGGUACUCCGGGGAUAACAGGCUGAUACCGCCCAAGAGUUCAUAUCGACGGCGGUGUUUGGCACCUCGAUGUCGGCUCAUCACAUCCUGGGGCUGAAGUAGGUCCCAAGGGUAUGGCUGUUCGCCAUUUAAAGUGGUACGCGAGCUGGGUUUAGAACGUCGUGAGACAGUUCGGUCCCUAUCUGCCGUGGGCGCUGGAGAACUGAGGGGGGCUGCUCCUAGUACGAGAGGACCGGAGUGGACGCAUCACUGGUGUUCGGGUUGUCAUGCCAAUGGCACUGCCCGGUAGCUAAAUGCGGAAGAGAUAAGUGCUGAAAGCAUCUAAGCACGAAACUUGCCCCGAGAUGAGUUCUCCCUGACCCUUUAAGGGUCCUGAAGGAACGUUGAAGACGACGACGUUGAUAGGCCGGGUGUGUAAGCGCAGCGAUGCGUUGAGCUAACCGGUACUAAUGAACCGUGAGGCUUAACCUUACAACGCCGAAGCUGUU
rnacentral:rRNA from 1 species